rnacentral:rRNA from 1 species
GACGAACGCUGGCGGCGUGCCUAAUACAUGCAAGUAGGACGCAGUUGCGAACGGGUGAGUAACGCGUAGGUAACUACCUAUUAGAGGGGGAUAACUAUUGGAAACGAUAGCUAAUACCGCAUACUAGUAGAUGGACCUGCGUUGUAUUAGCUAGUAGGUAGGGUAAUGGCCUACCUAGGCAACGAUACAUAGCCGGCCUGAGAGGGGGAUUGGCCAAAACGGGGAUGGGACCCGGGCCAGACUCCUACCGGAAGCAGCAGGAGGGAAACUUCGGGAAAUGGGGGAACCCUGACCGAGCAACGCCGCGUGAGUGAAGAAGGUUUUCGGAUCGUAAAGCUCUGUUGUUAAGGAAGCGGUACUUAACCAGAAAGGGACGGCUAACUACGUGCCGGCCGCCGCGGUAAUUC